AGCCCAGGGCCCGGGAUUGCCCAGAGGAAGCUGGGACUAUGACAGGCUUCCGGCCGGCCGGGAGCUGGAGCCAAGGGAGAGAGGCAGCAGCUGCCAGAGACGCCACCUCAGUACAGCGGGAGAGGGAGAAACACCCCGACUUCCCCUUCCUCCGGCUCUCCACGCGCCCACCAGACCCUCCUGUGGGCCAAACCCGGUUAGGAGCCGGCUGACAAGGGGCCUGAGAACGUGAGCCUGGAGCGUCAGGCCCCCUGAAUCCAAACCAGGGGAGAAAGGGCGAGGAAAGGAUCUCAGGUCCAAGAUACUCAGAACCAGCACGUUUGCAUGACAAUGCCCUCUGCCUUCACUGUGGGAAAAUUGUAGAAAAUACAGAUAUACAAAGAGAAAAAGGACAUUAACGACGCCUGCUUUAUCUCCCUCAUAAAAUGUUUGUGAGGAUAAACUGAUGGAAUGGAAGAAGAAUGGAUUACAGUCACAGAAGGCUUCCAUUGCCAACACUUCACACAUGCCCUCACUGAAUCUUCACAAAAACGCCAUUUUAUAUGAAACCACAUCACUGCAAGGUUAAGAGGCUUCUAAUAAAAGGUGGAGCUGACAUUCAAGCCAAAGC